rnacentral:rRNA from 1 species
AACGUAGGGGGCGAGCGUUGCCCGGAUUCACUGGGCGUAAAGCGGGUGUAGGCGGUUCUUUUAAGUCGGAUGUGAAAUCCUGCGGCUCAACCGCGGAACUGCAUCCGAUACUGGGGAACUUGAGGACGGUAGAGGUCGGUGGAAUUCCAGGUGUACCGGUGAAAUGGGCAGAUAUCUGGAGGAACACCAGUGGCGAAGGCGGCCGACUGGGCCGAUCCUGACGCUGAGACCCGAAAGCCAGGGUAGCGAACCGG